CAUGCAUGUCUCAGUACAAGCCAAAUUAAGGUGAAACCGCGAAAGGCUCAUUAAAUCAGUUAUGGUUCCUUAGAUCGUACCNACAUUUACUUGGAUAACUGUGGUAAUUCUAGAGCUAAUACAUGCAAACAGAGUCCCGACCAGAGAUGGAAGGGUCGCUUUUAUUGGAACAAAACCAAUCGGUGUCGGGUGUCAAAGCUCGUCAUCGCACAAUCUGGUGAAUCUGAAUAACUUACUGCUGAUCGCACGGUCUUGCACCGGCGACGCAUCUUUCAAAUGUCUGCCUUAUCAACUGUCGAUGGUAGGUUCUGCGCCUACCAUGGUUGUAACGGGUAACGGGGAAUCAGGGUUCGAUUCCGGAGAGGGAGCCUGAGAAACGGCUACCACAUCCAAGGAAGGCAGCAGGCGCGCAAAUUACCCACUCCCGGCACGGGGAGGUAGUGACGAAAAAUAACGAUACGGGACUCAUCCGAGGCCCCGUAAUCGGAAUGAGUACACUCUAAAACCUUUAACGAGGAUCAAUUGGAGGGAAAGUCUGGUGCCAGCAGCCGCGGUAAUUCCAGCUCCAAUAGCGUAUAUUAAAGUUGUUGCGGUUAAAAAGCUCGUAGUCGAAUCUGUGUCCCGCGCCGCCGGUUCAUCGCUCGCGGUGUCUAACUGGCGGUCCGUGGGACGUCCUGCCGGUGGAUUUAGCUCGAAAGGGCGGUCCAACCUUCAAUCCUAUCGCGGUGCUCUUUACUGAGUGUCGAGGUGGGCCGGCACGUUUACUUUGAACAAAUUAGAGUGCUUAACGCAGGCUAAAACUUCGCCUGAAUAUUCUGUGCAUGGAAUAAUGGAAUAGGACCUCGGUUCUAUUUUGUUGGUUUUCGGAACCCCGAGGUAAUGAUAAAUAGGAACGGAUGGGGGCAUUCGUAUUGCGACGUUAGAGGUGAAAUUCUUGGAUCGUCGCAAGACGGACAGAAGCGAAAGCAUUUGCCAAAAACGUUUUCAUUGAUCAAGAACGAAAGUUAGAGGUUCGAAGGCGAUCAGAUACCGCCCUAGUUCUAACCAUAAACGAUGCCAGCUAGCGAUCCGCCGACGUUCCUCCGAUGACUCGGCGGGCAGCUUCCGGGAAACCAAAGCUUUUGGGUUCCGGGGGAAGUAUGGUUGCAAAGCUGAAACUUAAAGGAAUUGACGGAAGGGCACCACCAGGAGUGGAGCCUGCGGCUUAAUUUGACUCAACACGGGAAACCUCACCAGGCCCGGACACCGGAAGGAUUGACAGAUUGAGAGCUCUUUCUUGAUUCGGUGGGUGGUGGUGCAUGGCCGUUCUUAGUUGGUGGAGCGAUUUGUCUGGUUAAUUCCGAUAACGAACGAGACUCUGGCCUGCUAAAUAGGCGUACUUCCGACAUCUCAAAGGCCCGGCGGCCCGGCGUUCGCGUCGCGGUCAGUCGCGGUUUUUACUGUCGGCGUAUAAAUAUUUCUUCUUAGAGGGACAGGCGGCUUCUAGCCGCACGAGAUUGAGCAAUAACAGGUCUGUGAUGCCCUUAGAUGUUCUGGGCCGCACGCGCGCUACACUGAAGGGAUCAGCGUGUCCUCCCUGGCCGAGAGGCCCGGGUAACCCGUUGAACCCCCUUCGUGCUAGGGAUUGGGGCUUGCAAUUGUUCCCCAUGAACGAGGAAUUCCCAGUAAGCGCGAGUCAUAAGCUCGCGUUGAUUACGUCCCUGCCCUUUGUACACACCGCCCGUCGCUACUACCGAUUGAAUGAUUUAGUGAGGUCUUCGGACCGGUACGCGGUGGCGUUCCGACGUCGCCGAUGUUGCUGGGAAGAUGACCAAACUUGAUCAUUUAGAGGAAGUAAAAGUCGUAACAAGGUUUCCGU
rnacentral:rRNA from 1 species